AAGAGCCAGCUCCUGUCUCAUUGUCCCCGACAGCAUGUACAAUUGCCUCAUCUGCUUUUCCUUCUCGCAAACACUGCUGGUUCCCAGGAUCCAGUCCUGCAUCUGUCUCCCUCACUCCAGACCACAUGUAUCUGAAGCUGCUUCCCACUCUUGGCCCUUCAAGUGACUCUGGAAAAUCUCCUGUUCCUUGGGCCCCUCUUUGCAAACCAGAGGACGUUUCCUGUGAUGUUUCAUCCAUCGCCGACCUCAGCCAAGACCCUUUCAGGCCUUGUACAGUGUGUUCCCCUGAUGACAAGGAGCCAGGAGAAGGUAAUGGCUGUGCUUGCUUCCAGCACUAACGUUUCUGCCUGAGACUUUCCAAUCUUUGUUCUUUCCCGGUUCCCCUUUCCAUCUGUCGCUUGACACCAUGCGACUGAUUACAUUUCUUUAACUGCCUUGGAAAACAGCUUGUAGUUUUUUUUAAAAGCCUUUAAAUAAGAUAAAGCUCCAUUUUUCUAACACAUUUGAGGAGGAAAGUGGAAGGGGACGUGACAGCCAUUGAACACCUACUAUGCGCCCGUCCCUUGAGGAACUCUGGUUGAGUCCUAGCAUGUAGCUUGUGAAGCUGUUUUCUAAAGCCAUCCUUGUUUUGUCUUGGUUUUCCCCGCUAUGUACUACUUUCCUUCCGGUGCAAAUCAGUCUGCAUUCUCCCAGGAAAUAGUGGCAGAGGGCUCUCCAGAAACAGAAAGAAGAGGUUUGUUACUGAAACUGGUGCACCUGACUCAGGAGACCAAGAAGUCACAUGACCCUCUGCCCCUCUGCUCCCUACCACACCUCACUUUGGAGAAGAAGAAGUGUGAAGAUCCAAGGACCUGUAGCUUCCAUGUGCCAGGGAAUUAUUUGUUCUAGAUGGACCAGGGCAGAUUGCAUGGUGCUCCUCUGUGCUGAGGAUCCAUGCUGGAGCUCUGACAACCUCCCCAAAGGUAGCUCAGGGUUGUGAAGCUUGGAUGUGGUCCAGCAGGAUUUGAACUCAGGGUUGUGACACCACAGCUCAUGAAAACUCAGGUGACCAAUGAAGAGAAAUGAUGUGAUUUCCUCUUUCACUGUCCAAAGCUGAGCCAGGGAGGUUCCCAGGAGCUACUUCUUCAGCCCUGAAAGUCAGCUGUGAGAAAAAGCACUGGAUGUCAUUGCCCAGUCCCUCCCUCUUAAUACCGGACUGAGGCACAGGCACAGAGCAGGAUCAAUCACUGUCGCAGACUGAGCUGGCAUUGCUCAGAGUUUGUAUAAGCCUGACUGGAUGCUGAGACCUCUUUAAGAAAUAGCCAAGGAAGACUGAAGCCAGCAAGAGCCUGUGCACUGCCCUCCGGGACUCUGGAAGGAUAUAUUCUCAGAAAAGAAGGUGCCACAGAGUCUAGAGCACCAGGCUGUUCCUCCUGGCCAUUCUGGUCAUUCCCACAUGAUGCCCACCUCUACUUGGUCCAGAGCUCUCAUCUCCCAGUUGAAUGUGGGCCUCUGUUCUCUUGGCUCCAGGAGGCAUGGCCGGCUUCUCACUCCCUCCUCUGCUGAAUCUCAGUAAAGAGAGAAGCUAUUUAAGACAUCCCAGGGGAGCCAAUAAUUGAAAGAGUCAUCUGAUUUAAAAGCUAAGAGCCUGAGCUCUGCCAUUUCAGUUACAGUACCACCACCACCACCACCACCACCCCCGCUCCCCCAUGGUGAACCUAACGCAAGUCCCAGAGCCUAUCCUCUUCCUACCAAACCAGCCAGGCUCAGCAGACAGGAUCUUUGAGUCUAGAACAAAGCUCUGUGUGGCUGUCCUAGCAUCUCUGGAGCUAUGGUGUCACAUGCCUUCCUUGAUGAUCACCAGGACUCUGCAAACUCCAGACUCAAGCAUCAAGUGCCCUAAGCAUAAUUGUGGCCCACAGUGUCUCCAGUGCCUUCAGUGACUCUAGUGGCUCCCUUCACAAGGCUCUGACUGGCUCCAUGAGCCCUCUAGCCCUAUUCAGAGUAUCUGGUAAGACAUGGGAAAGCAUCAUCCCAAAGCACCGUGAGCAGGCUGGAGAUGUGGCUCAGUCUGUAGAGGGUUUGUCUAGCUUGAAUGAGGUCCCAGGUUCAAACUCCAGUACCACACAGACAGGGUAUGGUGGCAUGUGCCUAUAAUCCUGGAACUUGGGAGGUGGAGGCAUGAAGAUUAGUAGUUCAAGAUUUUCCUCAGCUAUAGAGACUUCAAAAGUGAUAGUGUGACUUGGUGUGACAGGAGUGUAUGUCAAUGUGACACCCUAAAAAUGACUGGAGAUGAAGGUCACCAAAGGUAUCUGAUAGUUCUCCAGGAGCAAAGGGUGAACACGGGACUAGCUAUCAUCUGCGAUGGCUCUAAGUCCAUUCAUUUCCUUCAAGGAGCCCCUCCAUAUGCCAGGCAGCGUCUAGGGUUGGGAUGAGUAGCCAGCAGGGUGCGUAGGUACUGGCAAGGAGCAAGCAUGCUGAGGAAUAGGGAAAUGCAGGGAAGGAGAACACAGGUUAAUGGGAGCAAAGGAGGUGAAUGGAGAAGCUGGGGGUGGGAAAGGUUUGCAGAGACAGAUGACUCGGAAAGCAGGAACUGUCUUGGCAGAGAACGUGGCUGGUUCAAAGGCCAAGACAGGCAGAAGUAUGGCACAUUUGGUAAGAAGUAUGGGGUGUUCGAACAUGGGGGGGGGGGUCUGGCACAGAUGGAGAUAUAGAAGGCACUAGGCAAUGUGAGUCAGGGAGCAGCAGUCUUGAAUUUUGGGUUAAAGUCUGACAACCUUGCCAGGGGUCAGAUGAGCACAGAGAAUGAAGAAAGACCACACCGAUUUGGGAAAUUGUCAUCAUUCAUGAUGACUGAAGAAAUUAGCCACUUGCCCAAGGGACGGUGAGCUCUCUUCCUGCUCCCCCUGUCUCCCCACAGCCCAUAUCCCUCCACUGCAGCUCCUGGAACCGCAGUAUGGUUACUUAUGCUGGCCAUCUAACUUCAUCCUGCCUUUGACUCUCCGAGGAGUCUUGGGGUUAGAUCCAUUUGCCAGGUGAGGGUUGUUGACUGAGCUCUUCUCAGUCAUGUGAUUGGCGACAGGACCCCGUAUCUGACAGUCUCAAUCACUUUUGAAGAAAGAUGCAGUGUUUCCAGUCUGUAUAAUCACAGCAUGGAGUUCCAGUUGCUCCAUGCAAUCACUAGAUUUUUUUUAAUUUUAAGAAAUUGUGUGUGUGUGUGUUUAGUUUCUCUAUAGUGGUUAAUUCAAUUGUCAACUAGACCCAGCCUUAAAUCACCUGGGUACAGAGUCUCAGGAAGUAGCUCUCUAGAUCACGUUGGCCUGAGGACACAUCCUGGAGGGGUGGAGUGAGGAGGCAUUGCCUUGGUUACAUUAAUUAACCUGUACAGGCCCCGCCUAAAAUUGGGAAGCACUAUUCCUGGUCUUGGACAGGACAGAAGACUGGGCAAGCUGAGAGGUAGCAUGGGUGCCUUCAUUUCUCUCUGCUCUUGACCUUUUAAGCAGCUGUUCUAAGAUCCUGCUUCCUUGACUUCCUACUCUGAUGACCUAGAACUGAGAGCAAAGUAACUCCUUCCUCCACUAGGUUGCCUUUUGUCGGGGUAUUUUAUCACUGCAACAGAAAUGAAACCAGAACACCGUUCUAACAUGUUCUCGGGGUAUCUUAAGAUAGUUUUAUUCUGAUUUGAACUCCAUGAACUUUACAGCCUGUGUCUCUUCAAGAAAGCAUCUAUUCAGAUUGCUUUGCCCACUGGCUUAUUAGGUUCUUUGAUUUUCUUCUGCUGAAUUUGAACAAUUUUUGCCUGUACCAGACACAAGCAUUGCGUGUGUGGUUUAAAAACCUUCUCAUUCAGGCCUUCCAUUCUCUCAACAGUGUUUCUCACAGGGAAACAAGUUUUAUUCUGAUAGAGUUCAGUCUAUGGACUCCACGGGUGUCACAUCUAAGAACCUUUUGCCUCGAGAUGCCAAGAGAAGGUUUCUCCAUGUAUAUCCCUCAUGUUGAACCCUUUCCAGACAGAUCUACAGUUGGUUUCAUGGAAGGCAUGAGAAGUCUUUAUUUCCCACGUCUGACGUUAUUUGGCUAUAGAUCUUUUAUCAUCUCAGCCGGUGUUUGAUAAAAAGAUAAUCCCAUUUUCAGUGAGUUUGUCAAAAAUCGUGCUGUGCUGCGCUUUCUGCAACUGCCUGCAUCUGGGAGUCUGCUGUGCCCACCCUCCAAGUUGCCCAUUCCACCAUCCCCUGCACUCUUGGGUCCUGCAUGCAGAAGCUUCAAAACCAGGCCGUGCAGUCCCUCCAGAUGCCUUAACCCCCAAAUUCUUAUGACCACCCCUGCUUUGCUUCCUUCUUUUACAUGAAUUGCAAUGCGUUGGUUUAUUAAAAUCCAAUCUAGUAACUUUAUGUGUGUUCUAUUUGUGUUCAUGAGGAAUAUUUGCCUAGAAUUUCUGCUUGUUGUAUGGUUUUUUUUUUUUUACCUGGUUUUGACUUCAGGAUAAUAGUAGCCUUAUAAGAUGCAUUGUGAACUCCUCCCUCUUCUGUGUCUGGAAGCAGUUAUACAGAAUUGCUGUUACUUUUUCCUUCAAUGUUUGGCAGAAUAUGUCCAUGCAACCAUCUUGACCUAGAGUUUUCCUUUCUGGGAGAUUUUCUUUUUAAACUCAAAGCUCUUUCUUUAAUAAAUGUAGAGCUAUUCAGAGAGUC